rnacentral:rRNA from 1 species
AACGUAGGAGCCAAGCGUUAUCCGAAUUCACUGGGCGUAAAGCGCGUGCAGGCGGCUGGGUAAGUUGGAUGUGAAAUCUCCUGGCUCAACUGGGAGAGGCCGUUCAAUACUACCUGGCUUGAGGGCGACAGAGGGAGGUGGAAUUCCGGGUGUAGCGGUGAAAUGCGUAGAUAUCUGGAGGAAUACCGGUGGCGAAGGCGGCAUCCUGGACCAUUUACUGACGCUGAGGCGCGAAAGCUAGGGGAGCAAACGGG